rnacentral:rRNA from 1 species
GGGGAAUAUUGCACAAUGGGGGAAACCCUGAUACAGCGACGCCGCGUGAGUGAAGAAGUAUUUCGGUAUGUAAAGCUCUAUCAGCAGGAAAGAAAAUGACGGUACCUGACUAAGAAGCCCCGGCUAACUAC